rnacentral:lncRNA from 1 species
AUUUAAUUUCAUGUAUCUGUUGUUAUAAAUAUCGACAUUUCUCAAAUUUAAUUAAGAAUCAUAUUUAUCCAUUUUCAAUAAUUUUUUACAUAAUCUAUUUCACUUUAUACUCUUGUUUGCUUUUUUGUUUAUAUAGAGAAAAAUCUUUUAAUCCGUAACUUCAAUAAUACGUUUCUUUAAAGUUUUAUGUUAACCAUACAAUUCGGAAUUGAAAUUUUUCUUCUCGCCACCACAAAUUUAAUUUUCUCAAGUGAUUAUAGGGUGCCUGAUGUAUGUUUAUUUUUUUUCUGUCAUCUAAAUAUUAUUUCAAUAAAAUUUCUACAAUAAUUUCAUAUAGUUUAUGCAAAAAAAAAGGUAGAUUAAGAGUGAUUAACUAUGAAUAAGUAAUAGUUUUUUUUUUUUAAAGACGAAACAGUUUUGAAUGCUGUGCAUAUAUAAAUGCAGUAACGCAUAAAUUUCCUCGACUCUGAGAGAUCUGAUUUUGAAUCAUAUUUUUAUGCAUUUAUCAUUGUAAUAGUAUGUUAGUUUUAUUUUUCUAAACUAAUAUAAUCUAGAUUAUAUUUUAACUGUGCUUCGUUUGCAGAGUUCUUCAAAUUCAACUCGUCUUUUGCUUCCGAAAGAAGCAGAGUCUGUCAAUUGAUAAACUUACCUCUAAUUGUAGAAACAUGCUUUUGUAAAGUCUUUUUCUAAUGACAGUUUUGAAGUAUAGUAAAAUGUUUAAUAUCCCAAUUGUAAAAUCUCGUCUAAUUUGCACUCGGUCAGUACAUCCCGAAGACACGGGGAUGACUUCAUUGUUGGUAUUUUAUAAAGUUAAUUCUAUAAUAAAUAGGGCUUAUUGCAUAAAUGUAAAUGAGAGAGAGAGAUUCUCCGUCAAAAAAAAAAGGAAUAAAUUGCCGCCGCCAAGCCUCGAUACAUCUAUAAUUAACUUAAGCGUUUAAAAAGUUUUUAAUUCAAACAUAUGAUUUAUUUCUUUAUUUCUUUCAGUGAUUUAUUGUUAAAAAGGAAAUUAAUUUUUUUUAAGCUUUGGUAUUUGCAAACUAUUAAAUUUGUGUAAAAGUGGUGUUCAGAGUCCAAAAAAAAAAUUUCAUACCUCAUCUGUACUUUGCUUGCUUUGCGUACUCCUUGCCAGAACCGCUCUAUACCUUUGUAACUUAGCAGUGAAGUGCGGUUUUCGUUCGUCCGGGGAGACGGACAUCUUGGUCGACCGGGUAGCCCAGGAGGCAUCCGAACUUUACCUCUUCAAGCAAAGCUUGCAAAACCCGCAUAUCAUACUUUGGACACCACUAGUCAAAAAAUUGUUGUUUAAUGCCAUUUAGGCUCGCCAAAUAUAUUAACCAGUGCCAAAAUAUAUUUAUGUGAACAUUUUAUAAUUUAUUAUUAUGAUAUUUAUGUCUUAAAUGCAAUCUGUCCAAAGGGAGAUCAACUUUUAUAUUCCCAAUUCAUUUGCCGGAGAGGUAGGUUUUUUUCCUUUAAGCCAAUGGCCAUCAAGCGUGGUCUUUGGGAAUGAUUCGCUUCGAGCCGACAUUAUGUCGUUAACGUUCCUAGCGAUUAUUGUUAGUUAUACUUUGCCCCUUAUUAAAUAUUAAUGGAAAGAUUCAUCUCGAUACAGAUAACCACAUAAUCAAAAAGGCUCGAAAAUUGGUUACAGGUAAAGCCAUCCGGUGCAUAUGUAUGCGAUUAAGUUGAUAACGAGGGACGUUUAUAUAAAAAAAAACCUGGCAUACACAAAUAUGCAUUUAAUGCUCUGGAACUUCACCGAUGAAUGUAAGAUAUUCCACAAUUUUUCUUUGUAAUCAUUUCAGAAUGUGUAGAAUUAGAAUAGAAAGUGUAAUCGUCAAUUUAUGAAAUAUCCAGUAGUUGGUAACGAAGAUGUGUCUUUUUUCAUUAGUGUUCGUUGUAUGUAAAAGUGGGCACAAAGUGUCACAUUACCAGCAUACUUGUCUUUCCACUCCUAGAGUGAUGCGUAAUGUAUGUAAAUUGUUUUGGAUGUCAACUUCAUAUAUCUUGCUAUAAACUAAAAAAAAAAAACAUUGUUGGGAUAUUCAGACUGUUAAACCCAUAACAGUUGAAUUUUAUUAUGAAAGGAAAAAAAAAUGUUACUUAAUAGAUAAUUCAGGAAAUUUUCAUAUUUUUUUGCUUCAGAAAAACAUUGCAACCGUAUGUCCUGUACCAACGAAUCUCCGUUUCCUUUCGGAUAUCAGACUCCGUUAUUGCUUGUGUGGUCGUAAUUUUGAAUUAUUAUCGAUAUUUUGCUCUGUUUUUCGAAUUUUAGUUUAUGCCACACAACCAAAUGCAGCAAAAGAGUACAAAUUCAUACAGCCAGUGUAUUUUCAUAUUGUUAUCAAUCAGUUUGAACUCCUGAUAUGCAGUUGUAUUCUUCCAUCAUAUAGUUGUAACAUUCAUAAUGUAGAACAGAAAUAAAGUGGUAUCAUCAUUAUAAAAUAUGUUGUUAAUGUUGUAUUGUGUAGAUUUAUCUCAUUUAUUCAAGCAUAAAACUGAAUAUCUUUCUCGAAAGUCUAAACAAAGUACUGUUUAGAUCUUCGAGAAGAUUUAAUAAUGGAAACGACGAGAAGUAGACACUUAAAAUUGCGAAAAUCAAUUGAAAACUAAUUAUGUUUGAAGAAAUCUGGUGUUGGAACUUUAUAGCGCUCCCAAUAAUCUGCAUUCAGCACUGAAAACUUUUUUAUUUUUAACAAAGCACAUAUAAUGGUCAUUUAUCUGAUGAGAACAAACAUCGAGUCUUUCAUAAAUACAGUAGAAUUUUGAUAAUCCAACGUCCGAUAGUCUAAAAUUUAAGAGCUAGCCUGAUCCGUCUUAAACUUUGUUGUUGUCUACUCAUCGAUUAAACCAAUAAAAUAAUUUGAGAUAUAAAGCAAAUUUAUUCGUUUUUGAUAACUUGUGAAAUAUUUAAUAUAAAUUGUUUGUUUUUAACGUCUGCUAUUGUUCAACAAUGCUGGAUUAUUAGAUUAUUGAAAUUCUACCGUAGAUAUCCUGCUUAGCCAUGUUACGAAAUCUUCAUAUAGGUACCUCAAAAAAUCUCCAAAAUAGCUUCUAAUCGAGUUAAGUAUUAUUUAUUGCAUAUGCUUAAAUUUUCAGCUAAUUUCUAUCACGAUAAUUGAUGUGGACUUAGAAAUUAGGCAAAAACGUUUUUACUUAUUGACACUUAACCAUAUCUGUAUUAUAACCUACUUUUGUGCUACAUUUUUUCAUGAUUUAAGUAUAGCAG